GGAGGACAGACCACACUGUGGCCAAACAGGAAAGCCUUCCAUCUGACUCGGGGUGGGGAUGUAAUGGGAAAGGCUGCGGAUUUACAGAAGCAGGAUGAAGCAGCGCCACAGACAGACCCACGCUCUGGAAAUGCCUGGGAUGAGUGAGAGGUCCUCUGAAGUCAAACACUAGUAAUUAUGCCCACUGAUUUUCUUAAGGAAGUGUUGGAAUGUUAAUAAAACCUCGGGAACUUUUAUGUGCUGUUGAUGGGACUGUAAGGAAAAGGUUAUGUCCCUUCUUCAAAAA
rnacentral:lncRNA from 1 species